CCCGCCAGAACGACGCGUCUCUUCAAUCUUGAGAUGUGGUAGCCUUUAUUUUAUAUUGAUUUUAUAGUUUAUAAUGGAGUCUUCUCAGCAGCACGCUCUAGAGCUCGCUCUGAAGUUUUUCUAUAUCCCGGACGACAUUCAUCUUAGCCUAAACGAUAGGCUUCGAUUUAAUUGGCUGCUUCAACAACCGUUGGGCAGCUGGCAGUUUCUUGUGUUGACGGAGUAUAGGCCUCGAGAAGGCGGUUUUGUUUCUCCAACUUUAAGUGAGCGUUUAAUGCGCAGUACCCUGGUUACGCGAGGUAUCAUGAUGUUUUCGAUAUUCUGUCGGCUCGCUUUUUGUGGUAUUACGAGUCAGGAAUGGAUGUUUUCUUUCCUGAGGGCAUUUCUUUCGACGUUGAGGAACUGGAGUAUCCCGAUUUGGGUCGACUGCACAUUGGUGAUUGAAGGCCGUCGAACGAAAUCUGGCGUUAAUUUUGUUUUAUGUUGUAUUAUGGUGGUUGUUUGAAUACAAUGCCUUUUUCCAUU